rnacentral:tRNA from 1 species
UGUUCUAUGGCCGAACUGGUAAAGGCAUUGCAAGGUUGCGGGUUCGAGUCCCGCUGGAACGG